AUUGAACGCUGGCGGCAGGCUUAACACAUGCAAGUCGAGCGAGCGGCGGACGGGUGAGUAAUGUCUGGGAAACUGCCUGAUGGAGGGGGAUAACUACUGGAAACGGUAGCUAAUACCGCAUACCAUCAGAUGUGCCCAGAUGGGAUUAGCUAGUAGGUGGGGUAAUGGCUCACCUAGGCGACGAUCCCUAGCUGGUCUGAGAGGAUGACCAGCUACACUGUAACGGAGACACGGUCCAGAUUCCUACGGGAGGCAGCAGUGGGGAUUAUGGCUCAAUUGGCGUAAUCCUGAUGCAGCACUGCCGCGUGUGUGAAGAAGGCCUUCGGGUUGUAAAGCACUUUCAUCGGGGAUGCGUUACUCUCAGAAGAAGCACCGGCUAACUCCGUGCCAGCAGCCGCGGUAAUUC
rnacentral:rRNA from 1 species